AUUGAACGCUGGCGGCAUGCCUAACACAUGCAAGUCGAACGAGUGGCGGACGGGUGAGUAAUGUCUGGGAAACUGCCUGACGGAGGGGGAUAACUACUGGAAACGGUAGCUAAUACCGCAUAACAUCAGAUGUGCCCAGAUGGGAUUAGCUAGUUGGGGGGGUAACGGCUCACCAAGGCGACGAUCACUAGCUGGUCUGAGAUGGUGACCAGCCACACUGGAACUAGGACACGGUCCAGACGCCGACGGGAGGCAGCAGUGGGGAAUAUUGCCCAAUGGGCGCAAUCCUGAUGCAGCCAUGCCGCGUGUAUGAAGAAGGCCGUCGGGUUGUAAAGUACUUUCAGCGGGGAGGCGUUACCCGCAGAAGAAGCACCGGCUAACUCCGUGCCAGCAGCCGCGGUAAUAC
rnacentral:rRNA from 1 species